GCAUUAAUGGGGUAGUGGUAACCUGGGUCGUUGCCAUUCCGUUUCGACCCGCCGGGAGUUCGAUUCUCUCUUAAUGCA